UACUUCCUACGGGGGGCAGCAGUGGGGAAUAUUGCACAAUGGGGGAAACCCUGAUGCAGCGACGCCGCGUGAGUGAAGAAGUAUCUCGGUAUGUAAAGCUCUAUCAGCAGGAAAGAUAAUGACGGUACCUGACUAAGAAGCCCCGGCUAACUAUGUGCCAGCAGCCGCGGUAAUACGUAGGGGGCAAGCGUUAUCCGGAUUUACUGGGUGUAAAGGGAGCGUAGACGGCAGCGCAAGUCUGGAGUGAAAUGCCGGGGCCCAACCCCGGAACUGCUCUGGAAACUGUGAAGCUGGAGUGCAGGCGG
rnacentral:rRNA from 1 species